rnacentral:rRNA from 1 species
AUACGGAGGGUGCAAGCGUUAUUCGGAAUCACUGGGCGUAAAGGACGCGUAGGCGGGUUGGCAAGUCAGAUGAGAAAUCCUACAGCUUAACUGUAGAACUGCAUUUGAAACUGCUAACCUAGAGUAUGGGAGGGGGAGAUGGAAUUAGUGGUGUAGGGGUAAAAUCCGUAGAUAUCACUAGGAAUACCGAAAGCGAAGGCGAUCUCCUGGAACAUAACUGACGCUAAGGCGUGAAAGCGUGGGGAGCAAACAGGAUUAGAAACCCUAGUAGUCC